rnacentral:ncRNA from 1 species
AAUGAUUUGGCGUAAAAUGUCUUUAGUUGGCUUUUUAAGUCCCCCGUCAAAUCCCAGGGCUUAACCCUGGACAGACAAUCGAAACUGCCAAGCUGGAGUAUCAAGUAUGGUAGGGGCAGAGGGAAUUUUCAGUGGAGCGAUGAAAUGCGUUGAGAUCGGAAAGAACACCAACGGAUAAAAGCGUAGCCAGUCUCAGAUGAAGCUGUUUACAAAGGCUCGGUUUCAAUGUUGGAAACAUAAAAAUCCAAUCUCCAAAGCAAUUGCC